rnacentral:tRNA from 1 species
GGGCAGAUGGCCGAGAUUAGGCGGUAAAUUGUAAAUUUAUUCACGAAUAAUAUUCUUUGUCCA